rnacentral:rRNA from 1 species
AGAGUUUGAUCCUGGCUCAGGACGAACGCUGGCGGCGUGCCUGAUACAUGCAAGUAGAACGCUGAAGACUUUAGCUUGCUAAAGUUGGAAGAGUUGCGAACGGGUGAGUAACGCGUAGGUAACCUGCCUACUAGCGGGGGAUAACUAUUGGAAACGAUAGCUAAUACCGCAUAACAGCAUUUAACCCAUGUUAGAUGCUUGAAAGGAGCAAUUGCUUCACUAGUAGAUGGACCUGCGUUGUAUUAGCUAGUUGGUGAGGUAACGGCUCACCAAGGCGACGAUGCAUAGCCGGCCUGAGAGGGCGGACGGCCACAUUGGGACUGAGACACGGCCCAAACUCCUACGGGAGGCAGCAGUAGGGAAUUUUCGUCAAUGGGGGGAACCCUGAACGAGCAAUGCCGCGUGAGUGAGGAAGGUCUUCGGAUCGUAAAGCUCUGUUGUAAGAGAAAAACGACAUUCAUAGGGAAUGAUGAGUGAGUGAUGGUAUCUUACCAGAAAGUCACGGCUAACUACGUGCCAGCAGCCGCGGUAAUACGUAGGUGGCGAGCGUUAUCCGGAAUGAUUGGGCGUAAAGGGUGCGUAGGUGGCAGAACAAGUCUGGAGUAAAAGGUAUGGGCCCAACCCGUACUGGCUCUGGAAACUGUUCAGCUAGAGAACAGAAGAGGACGGCGGAACUCCAUGUGUAGCGGUAAAAUGCGUAGAUAUAUGGAAGAACACCGGUGGCGAAGGCGGCCGUCUGGUCUGGAUUCUGACACUGAAGCACGAAAGCGUGGGGAGCAAAUAGGAUUAGAUACCCUAGUAGUCCACGCCGUAAAC